CGCAGCCGACAGGAUUCGAACCUGUGCGGGGAGACCCCAUUGGAUUUCGAGUCCAACGCCUUAACCACUCGGCCACGACUGC
rnacentral:tRNA from 1 species